GUGCUCACUUCAGCAGCACAUAUAGUAAAAUUGGAACGAGACAGAGAAGAUUAGCAUGGCCCCUGCUCAAAAAUAACACUGCCUCUGAGAUCUGUUCUAGUCUUCU
ensembl:snRNA U6 U6 spliceosomal RNA